rnacentral:lncRNA from 1 species
GGCAAGUGCCCAUUUCUUCUGAUGGUCCUUUGUCAAUGGCACCUAUAAGGAGGUCAUUGAACAGACUCGUGAUUCCUUCUAGUGCAUUAGGGUUCUCUGUCUUUGGAGGUGUCGAAUCGUCCAUGCCACCCCAUCCAUCUGGGACAAUAUCCUGAGGGUCAAUGUAAAAGCUGGGAGGAGCCAAAUACUUUACAUAGUAGUCGAAUUUGCCGCUUGGCUGUCCGAGGGUGUCCAUCACUUCUACUCCAUCGUGCAUCAUUUUAGGAGGGCUAGGAAACGUCUCGCGACUGUAGGGAGGUAACGAGUUUUGCCUCCCUUGCCCUUGCUCAAGUGGCAAGUUUUGCAUUUCUUGUCUCCGCCCUCUAGAAUUUUCUCCACCUCUUUUAUGGUGUCUUAAUCCAGCAGAACGAGACCUCCGAGGGGCUUCAAUAGGGUUUCGAAUGCCUUAACCCCUUCUUCCAAGACCAUAUGGUAGCAUUUGAAAUCUUAGGAGUAGAAAUGAACUGUAUGGCGGUUUUCCCCAUCGCAUAUAAAACGAGACUUGAAUACAAAACCUUUUGUGAUGCAUUGACAAAAUCGCAACAAAAUAUGUAAAUUGCAAAGUGAGAGUUCAGACAACUUACUUUCACCGGGAAGGGAUGACAAUCA